ACACACAAGUAGGUACACACUAUUGAAAAAUAAAUGCAUAAGUGUGACAUUCUUAUAAUGGUAAAUUUGAGGUGAGUCUAAUUAAUUAAAAAUUUAAAAUUUUCACAAAUCCUUAUAACAAUUCUUAUGAGUGAGUAGUUUUGACACGUGCUAUAACUGAUCGUGAUCCUGUAAUGUGUCAUGCCACUAAGAUCAAGAGGACUAGGCUAGGAAGAGGACUGUAGAGAAAGCACAGAAAAAUGAUGAUGACAAAACCGGGGACCACCAAUAUUUAAACUGUCAAAAGAAGAUGACAAGAUAAUUAGCUGGAAUGUAGAAAAAGAGAGAGAGAAGGGUGUCACAGAAGCCAAGAGAAGUGCAACAUUCAAAGGAUAAAGGGUCAACGUGUCAAAAUCCUGUUGAAAGGAUUAUAUACCUAUAAAGGCUGUGAGAAUUGUAACUCAACAAAAUUUUGAAAACUUAGAAGCAGAUGAAGGAGUGAUGACUGCUUUCUCAGAUCUGAAAAAGCUGAAUUCAAACACUCAGUGAGAAAAGCCAAGAAACAAUUUGUUUUGCACCAUGGGAUUUAAGAGGCUCAGGAAUUAACACCACCAGAUACUUCUGACAAUGGCAGCUAAAUAUAGGAUGAAAGUCUCCUUAAAAACUAGGUAUACACCUGGUUCCUCUUCCCAUUCUGCCCAGUUAGAUGACUGCCUCUCCACCAGCCUAGAAAAAGAUGGGAGAUUUAUUUUCUGCACUAUGGAACACCACACACAACUGAAUGCAGAUUCCAUAUUGAAUACCGGGAAAUCAGUGAAAGUGUAUAUGGCAAUCAGAAUGCUGAAAGAUGGCUUUUAUUGCCUGGGCAGGAAUUUUGAAGAAUAUUUUCUAAGGAAACAAACAAACUAAAAAUACUUAAAUUGACAAUCAGGUGUUUCCUGAGAGAAUGAAUGGCUCGCCGUUACCCCACAUUGAAUUUAAUCAUUAACAAUCACAUCUCCAGUUGCACAGAGCUUUCGAUUAGUGUUUUAUUGCAGAGCUCUUAAGUAUGAGUGGAAAGCCGGGUUAAACAUUUGAGGGAGGCUUCUAACAUAAAAGACAAAAGCCACAGCAAAUUUGUAGACAAACCCAAGAAGAAGGAUGUGAGAACUCCAUUAACAGAACACUUCAUUAUCACUAUCCCUUGAUUACUCACCAUGAUUAAUGUCCUAAGAGUGAAAGGACACCAUGUUCAUGAAACAGAGUAUGCUAUGAGAAAACACAGGAAGAGAAAAAGCAGUCUUGAAACAUAAAAGAGGACAACAGAAAUGAAAAGGGUUACAAGAUAAAGUGAACGAAGUCUCCAGAUAUUAGAAGAAAAUGACAAAUAUAUGUAAAAUAAGAAGACAAGUAUAAAAAUUGAAAAAUCAGAAAGUCCAGCAUCAAAAUAACAGGAAAGCUAGAAAAAGAAAGAGAAGACCAAGGAAAAAGGAGUAAGAGUACAGGAGAAGUCACCAAAGAUAUCAUGUCAGAACAUUUACAGACUUAAAUGUUAUGAAUAUCUAGAUUGAAAAAGUCCACUGAGUGACCAACAGGAUGAAGAAAAUGUAUACCAAUAUCAUCAUGAAAUUUAAAACAAUGGAUUUCAAAACCAAAGAUAAAAAGUCAGAAUAGCAUUGGGCUUCUCAAAUUCCAUACAGGAACCUAGGAUACAAUGGAACAAUGCUUUCAGAAUCCUGAGGAAGGAACAAUGAUUUACAAACAGAAAUACAAUACCUUUUCAAAUUGCCAGUCAAGAGUGAAGUAUGCCAAGAAAAAAGGAGAGGCUCCUCAAUAACCCUCAAGACAUAAUGUCAUUUUCUCUCCUGUGGAUGAAGACUCUCUAUCUGCUGAAUAUUUAUUAGUCUGCUGGGUCACCUGCUAGAAAACAGACAAUUCUCCAGCAACUUCAAACACUCUUCUUCACUGAACUACAGUUUGGUAUGAGACGUCAAAGGAUAAGAAUGUGCAUACCUAAAUGGUCAAAUGAAGAUGAAUGUUCCAUAUGGCUUUUGCCCCAUACUGCCCAAGACUGUGUUAAAAACUAAAUACAUCAGGAUGCUCUAAGCCACUGAAGAGCCAUGUUUGCCAGUCACAUUAUACUGGGCUUCUCUGGUUAUACAAAGGGACACCUAAUGAAGAUAUUCUGUUGAUAUAAAAGCAGUCUCAUGGACAGUAAUCUUUCUAUAUCCUUAGGCAGCCACAAUACUGCCUGUCAAAUAUAAUUACCAGCAGAAGAACAGAAAACUAACACUUACCUAUUACCUUGUUAACAUGUCCACAAUGAGCCAAUAUGAAAUGAACAUAAUAAUGGUGUCAUUUGUGGGGAAAAGCCUGAGAGACAUGGUUUAUAGUGCUCACCAAGGUCUGAAUGUCAGAAAGAAUAUUAUGUGAUAAGACUAUUUUAACAUGCAAAUAUAAUGGGCCAGGUUUUCCGUUUGGUUUCCUGCUAUAUCCACCACAUCUAGAAUAGUAUUUGGUACUCAAUAAAUAUCUGUUCACUUAAUGAAUUGAGAACUAUGCUGAG
rnacentral:lncRNA from 1 species